rnacentral:lncRNA from 1 species
GUCCUUACUCAUUCAGUGUUCAAAUUCAAAUUAGAGAAGUAUGCAAGUAGCAACUAAGGUUCUUAUCGGAUUUCGUCUCAACUCCGUAGGCUUAUUUGGUUGAGAUGAAUUUACAAAACAUAUUGAGUGGGAUGGCAUUUAAACACUUCGACCCUCUUGAAGAGAAGGCUUCACGGGAGUUGGGACGAAUCUUUUUGGGUGAUAUUUCAUCAUUCUGCUAGCUUCAUUGAAUGUAGACUUUCUUAAAGUACAAAAUAAACUAUAGAAUCUCCCUA